UACGAAGGGGGGCUAGCGUUGUUCGGAAUCACUGGGCGUAAAGCGCACGUAGGCGGACUUUUAAGUCAGGGGGUGAAAUCCCGGGGGCUCAACCCCCGGAACUGCCUUUGAUACUGGAAGUCUUGAGUCCGAGAGAGGUGAGUGGAACUCCGAGUGUAGAGGUGAAAAUUCGUAGAUAUUCGGAAGAACACCAGUGGCGAAGGCGGCUCACUGGGCUCGGUACCAAC
rnacentral:rRNA from 1 species